rnacentral:rRNA from 1 species
AACACAUGCAAGUCGAGCGGAAACGGCAACAUUGACUCUUCGGAUAAUUUGUUGGACGUCGAGCGGCGGACGGGUGAGUAAUGCCUAGGAAAUUGCCCUGAUGUGGGGGAUAACUAUUGGAAACGAUAGCUAAUACCGCAUAAUGCCUUCGGGCCAAAGAGGGGGACCUUCGGGCCUCUCGCGUCGGGAUAUGCCUAGGUGGGAUUAGCUAGUUGGUGAGGUAAAGGCUCACCAAGGCGACGAUCCCUAGCUGGUCUGAGAGGAUGAUCAGCCACACUGGAACUGAGACACGGUCCAGACUCCUACGGGAGGCAGCAGUGGGGAAUAUUGCACAAUGGGCGCAAGCCUGAUGCAGCCAUGCCGCGUGUAUGAAGAAGGCCUUCGGGUUGUAAAGUACUUUCAGCAGUGAGGAAGGCAGGUACGUUAAUAGCGUGCUUGUUUGACGUUAGCUGCAGAAGAAGCACCGGCUAACUCCGUGCCAGCAGCCGCGGUAAUACGGAGGGUGCGAGCGUUAAUCGGAAUUACUGGGCGUAAAGCGCAUGCAGGUGGAUGAUUAAGUCAGAUGUGAAAGCCCGGGGCUCAACCUCGGAAUAGCAUUUGAAACUGGUCAUCUAGAGUACUGUAGAGGGGGGUAGAAUUUC